GUAAAACUCUUCUUGGGUCAGAGGUCAUUUCAAAAUGGACGUCAGCAUUGCCGUGUCGCUGAUUCGAGGCCAGAUGGGUGCCGUGGUGGAGCGAGCAGUGAACGUAGCGGUGGAGACGGUGCUGGCUGAGAUGCUCAAAGUGGUCGGAGUCAAGUUUGAGGAGCUGAAGGCCCAGUUGGCGCUGAUGAAGAGGGACGUCACGGCGUUGCAGAGGGAAAAGGCCCUGAAAGAGAAAGAGAACGACAACAUUCGGGCCAAGCUGCGCUACACCGAGCUGAAGCUGAAGUACUACAGGCAGGGAGUGGAGGAGGAGCUGCAGCAGAGGGCCUCUGCCUCCGCUCUGGUCCGCAUCCACCCGUCCACCUUCCAGCAAGCACAGAGAGGCAGUGCGGGUGUUUCCUCCACUGAGACCUCGCCAUCGUGUUCAACUCAGACCAGGACCUCUGAGGCACUGCUGGUGAGAAGCAAACAAGAAUGCACCUCUCCACAGAGCACGAGCAGGCAUGCGAUCAGAGUGCGCUGUCACUUGGAUGCAGGGGGCGCCGGCUCCGACCCGGCGGAUUUGUUGCUGCCUAUCUCAAUCUCUGUGAACACACCAACAGAAUCUGUGGACAGCAGUACAGUUUUGUUCUGUCCCACAGAAGCCACAGCUCAGAGCAAGGAUGACGACCAGCAGGGCGACUGUGAGUGGGCCGUCACUCUGCAGCCGCAUGCAGAAGGCACGGACGCCGUCCCGACCCCUCCAGCGUUCGAGGUCUUGACUCUGGAUCCGGGGGAGCAGCAGCCAGUCGCCUGCUCGUUGACCCCUGAUGUUUCCCCUCAGGCCGAUAGCUCCACUCUGCCCUCUUCUGCUCCACAGGUGAAGCAGGAGAUGGAGGAGGUGAUCUGUAUCAAGGAGGAGCCAGAGGACGAGCAGGAGGUGAUGGCCACCCUGCUCAUGGACUGCCAGGUGCAGCAGGGUCAUCUCCCAGAGUCUGAGGCUCAAGGUUCAGUCACAGAGUGGUCAGGACUCACAGAAAGCCAGAGGAAUCACACUACAGCCUUCAGCUCAGCUGGACCGAGCACCUAUGUUAUGCCUCAGUCGGCAGGCUCCCUGCUGUCGAUGGUGGCCUUGCCAUCCGGCAUCGCAGCUCGCCAGGCGGUGCGGCCCUGGACUAAGGACCUCAGCCUUUAUGAAGAAUAUAAGCUGCGCAGGAACGAGCUCCGCCGGCGGAACCUCAGCAGACGCAGAGAGCUGGAGAAGACGUUGCCUCAGCCUCUGCUGGCAGAUCUGGUGCGAGAGCGUCGAGAGAAGACCAGACUAAGGGUGGCCAGAUGGAGGGCAAAAAGAAAACUGCAGGCCUGUCUAAACCAGUCACAGGUCCUAGGUGGCGCUGCAGGUCUUUCUCAAGCUGGCUUUCCCAUCAGCAGCCAGCAUCAUCAGCUCCUCGUGCCUUGUGAACUGGCCUGUUGUGUUUCAGCUGCCACCUCCAGUAGUCAGCAGAGACAGAGCUCAGCGUCACCUCAGUCCAGCACCUUCCUCAACAACAUGUCAGCAGCAAACAGCACCUCUGCCACUCUCCCCUUCAUCCCCUCCUCCUCCUCCUCCUCCUCCUCCUCCUCUCUGCUCCCGAGAGGCCCCAGCUUGGCCCCACAUCAGCACACUGUGACAUCAUCGUCCUCUUCCUACCCUCAGGUCAGCCUAUCACAACAGAGUAUCUCUCUGACAGACGCAGAUAUCUUGCAGUGA
ensembl:lncRNA